UUGUGACUUAGUGGCGGACGGGUGAGUAACGCGUGGGUAACCUGCCUCACACAGGGGGAUAACAGUUGGAAACGACCGCUAAUACCGCAUAACCCGCUAGGGCCGCAUGGCCCGGACGGAAAAGAUUUAUCGGUGUGAGAUGGACCCGCGUUGGAUUAGCUAGUUGGCAGGGUAACGGCCUACCAAGGCGACGAUCCAUAGCCGGCCUGAGAGGGUGACGGCCACAUUGGGACUGAGACACGGCCCAA
rnacentral:rRNA from 1 species